GAUGAACGCUGUCUACAGGCUUAACACAUGCAAGUCGAGGGGAAACGCCGGGGAAGCUUGCUUCCCCGGGCGUCGACCGGCGCACGGGUGAGUAACGCGUAUCCAACCUGCCUCUGACUGAGGGAUAACCCGUCGAAAGUCGGCCUAAUACCUCAUGGCAUCGUCUGCGGGCAUCCAACGACGAUUAAAGAUUUCAUCGGUCAGGGAUGGGGAUGCGUCUGAUUAGCUUGUUGGCGGGGUAACGGCCCACCAAGGCUACGAUCAGUAGGGGUUCUGAGAGGAAGGUCCCCCACAUUGGAACUGAGACACGGUCCAAACUCCUACGGGAGGCAGCAGUGAGGAAUAGUGGUCAAUGGGCGGGAGCCUGAACCAGCCAAGUAGCGUGCAGGAGGACGGCCCUAUGGGUUGUAAACUGCUUUUAUGCGGGGAUAAAGUGAGGGACGUGUCCUUCAUUGCAGGUACCGCAUGAAUAAGGACCGGCUAAUUCCGUG
rnacentral:rRNA from 1 species